rnacentral:rRNA from 1 species
GAUGAACGCUGGCGGCGUGCCUAAUACAUGCAAGUCGAGCGAAUGGAUUAAGAGCUUGCUCUUAUGAAGUUAGCGGCGGACGGGUGAGUAACACGUGGGUAACCUGCCCAUAAGACUGGGAUAACUCCGGGAAACCGGGGCUAAUACCGGAUAACAUUUUGAACCGCAUGGUUCGAAAUUGAAAGGCGGCUUCGGCUGGCACUUAUGGAUGGACCCGGGGCGGAUUAGCUAGUUGGUGAGGGAACGGCUCACCAAGGCAACGAAGCGUAGCCGAACUGAGAGGGUGAUCGGCCACACGGGGACUGGGACACGGCCCAGACUCCUACGGGAGGCAGCAGUAGGGAAUCUUCCGCAAUGGACAAAAGUCUGACGGAGCAACGCCGGGUGAGUGAUGAAGGCUUUCGGGUCGUAAAACUCUGUUGUUAGGGAAGAACAAGUGCUAGUUGAAUAAGCUGACACCUUGACGGUACCUAACCAGAAAGCCACGGCUAACUACGUGCCAGCCGCCGCGGUAA